GUGGGGAAUCUUCCGCAAUGGACGAAAGUCUGACGGAGCAACGCCGCGUGAGUGAAGAAGGUUUUCGGAUCGUAAAGCUCUUUCGUUAGGGACGAACGUGCUCUUUGUGAAUAAUGAGGAGUAAUGACGGUACCUAAAUAAGAAGCCACGGCUAACUACGUGCCAGCAGCCGCGGUAAUACGUAGGUGGCAAGCGGUGUCCGGAAUUAUUGGGCGGAAAGCGCGCGCAGGCGGGAUAUCAAGUCUUUCUUAAAAGUGCGAGGCUCAACCUCGUGAGGGGACAGAAACUGGUAUUCUUGAGUGUCGGAGAGGAAAGUGGAAUUCCAAGUGUAGCGGUGAAAUGCGUAGAGAUUUGGAAGAACACCAGUGGCGAAGGCGACUUUCUGGACGAUGUCUGACGCUGAGGCGCGAAAGCUAGGGGAGCGAACGGGAUUAGAUACCCGGGUAGUCC
rnacentral:rRNA from 1 species